rnacentral:rRNA from 1 species
CAAUAGCGUAUAUUAAAGUUGUUGCAGUUAAAAAGCUCGUAGUUGGAUUUCUGGUGGGAGCGACCGGUCCGACGCUUAGCGUGGGUACUUGCGUCGUCUCCGGCCAUCCUUGGGGAGAGUCUGUCUGGCAUUAAGUUGUCGGGCAGAGGAUCCUCAUCGUUUACUGUGAAAAAAUUAGAGUGUUCAAAGCAGGCUUAUGCCGUUGAAUAUAUUAGCAUGGAAUAAUAAGAUAGGACUUUGGUACUAUUUUGUUGGUUUGCGCACCAAAGUAAUGAUUAAUAGGGACAGUUGGGGGUAUUCGUAUUUCGUUGUCAGAGGUGAAAUUCUUGGAUUUACGAAAGACGAACUACUGCGAAAGCAUUUACCAAGGAUGUUUUCAUUA